rnacentral:rRNA from 1 species
CCUACGGGUGGCAGCAGUGGGGAAUAUUGGACAAUGGGGGCAACCCUGAUCCAGCGACGCCGCGUGAGUGAAGAAGUAUUUCGGUAUGUAAAGCUCUAUCAGCAGGGAAGAAAAUGACGGUACCUGACUAUGAAGCCCCGGCUAACUACGGGCCAGCAGCCGCGGUAAUACGUAGGGGGUAAGCGUUAUCCGGAUUUACUGGGUGUAAAGGGAGCGUAGACGGUGCAGCAAGUCUGAUGUGAAAGGUCGGGGCCCAACCCCGGGACUGCAUUUGAAACUGUUGAACUGGAGUGCAGGAGAGGUAAGCGGAAUUCCGAGUGUAGCGGUGAAAUGCGUAGAUAUUAGGAGGAACACCAGUGGCGAAGGCGGCUUACUGGACUGUAACUGACGUUGAGGCGCGAAAGCGUGGGGAGCAAACAGGAUUAGAUACCCCAGUAGUC